rnacentral:lncRNA from 1 species
GUGGUAUUCUUUAUUUCAAUUAGCUCAUUGUAAAAGUUGAGACUUACAUAGUCAGUGUUGAUUAUUCCAAUGAAAUGUAAUCAUCAAUUAAUAUUAUUAUAAAUUAAGGAAUGUAUCUCCCUCAUGCAAAGCUCUGAUUCCUUUCACGGAUUUGGCUAUGCUUUUUUGACUGUUUGGAUUAUAGCUCUUCAUCUUUUAUAUAAGCUUUGGAUUUCAAAUAUUUUGGCCACAAGCAUCACUGAAGAGACAUGUAUUGUCGAAAUGCGCAUCUGGUGCAAGAAAAUUGGUUCCGUUAAUUUUAUUAAUACCAUACUGUCUAUUGAAAAAAGCAUUAUCUAAAUUGUGGGUAAAAAUCAAGUAUCUUGAUAAUGUCGAUUUCAGAU